rnacentral:tRNA from 1 species
GAUUCUAUAGUUAAACUUAUAAUAUUAGAUUGCAAGUCUAAAGAUGUAUUGAUAUACUAGGAUUU